UGGGGAAUUUUGGACAAUGGGCGAAAGCCUGAUCCAGCAAUGCCGCGUGUGUGAAGAAGGCCUUCGGGUUGUAAAGCACUUUUGUCCGGAAAGAAAUCCUUGGCUCUAAUACAGUCGGGGGAUGACGGUACCGGAAGAAUAAGCACCGGCUAACUACGUGCCAGCAGCCGCGGUAAUACGUAGGGUGCAAGCGUUAAUCGGAAUUACUGGGCGUAAAGCGUGCGCAGGCGGUUUGCUAAGACCGAUGUGAAAUCCCCGGGCUCAACCUGGGAACUGCAUUGGUGACUGGCAGGCUAGAGUAUGGCAGAGGGGGGUAGAAUUCCACGUGUAGCAGUGAAAUGCGUAGAGAUGUGGAGGAAUACCGAUGGCGAAGGCAGCCCCCUGGGCCAAUACUGACGCUCAUGCACGAAAGCGUGGGGAGCAAACAGGAUUAGAUACCCUGGUAGUCCACGCCCUAAAACGAUGUCAACUAGUUGUUGGGGAUUCAUUUCCUUAGUAACGUAGCUAACGCGUGAAGUUGACCGCCUGGGGAGUACGGUCGCAAGAUUAAAACUCAAAUGAAUUGACGGGGUCAUAGCUGUUUCCU
rnacentral:rRNA from 1 species